AUACGGAGGAUCCUAGUGUUAUCCGGAUUUAUUGGGUUUAAAGGGAGCGUAGGCGGGAGGUCAAGUCAGCUGUGAAAUGUAUCUGCUUAACGGGUACACUGCAGUUGAAACUGGUUUUCUUGAGUGCGUAAGAGGCAGGCGGAAUUCGUUUGGGAGCGGUGAAAUGCUUAGAUAUGACGAGGAACUCCUAUUGCGAAGGCAGCUUGCUGGGUCGUUACUGACGCUGAUGCUCGAAGGUGCGGGGAUCAAACAGGAUUAGAUACCCUGGUAGUCCGCACAGUAAACUAUGGAUACUCUCUGCCGGCGAUAUAUUGUCGGUGGCCAAGCGAAAGCGUUAAGUAUCCCACCUGGGGAGUACGUUCGCAAGAAUGAAACUCAAAUGAAUUGGCGGGG
rnacentral:rRNA from 1 species